UAUUAAUCAAGUCUAUAACCUCCGCAACCAUCUUUCAUUUUCUGAAACCCGGACCACGUUUUACGUCUAGUGACAACAAAGACACUGCCUUCAUUGACACGUAUAACAUUUCAACGUAUUAUUUUUAUGUUGGUUAAAAUUCUCUCUCAAAAUCAAUGGCUGGAUUACUCGCUCUGGUGAUACUAGAUGAGGUCUGCAGCAUUUUCUAAAAUUCCCAACAGGCGGAGGCUGUGGGGACUUGCAACUUCAAGGUGAUGCAAAUGUGUGAUUUCCAAAGCAGCAGAGCUGUAUCAUCUGUUCUGUGAAUACAUCCUGGACUGAUCUGCUUCAACCUCAGUGAAAGUUUCAACAAGUGAACCUCAAAUCACAGAUUACUGCAAUUAGAAUAUUGGUGAAGACACCACCUGUGUCAGGAGCAGCAGCAUGACAGGAAAAACUCUGUCAUAAAAGAUUUCCUGUUUACCACACUGGAGGGAUAUGUUGGUUGUCUUUGAACUGCAUGCCAUGGGAGGAUUGACCUGGAUCUUUACCCAGAACAUCCUUCACCAGCCUUUUGACAGUAGAAGUGAAAUCAGAGGAAACAAACCUGCUGGUGAAGAGAAACCGCAUCGUCUUUAAAGCAUUUCAACAUUGUGUUCCCAGAGGCAACUCAUUUGUUUGGGGAUGUAACGCUGUUUUCUUGACUUGACAAACUUCUUGUCAAGUCAAGAAGUAAAUAAACUCAACUCAGAUCUGAGUUGCAUGCAUUCAGCAACGUAACUUGUUGCAAAGUCCAGUGGCAACUCAUGCAGAUCAACCAUACAUCAUGUUGGCAUUAAAGGACAGUUAAGUAUAUUUCUGCAUCUGUCCUAUAACUCUCCCUGGCUGUUAUAAUCUACCAGUGUUUUUAAAUGCCAAAAUGAUAGGGGACUAUGUUUUCUUUUGAUCUAUUACAACACAGAAAUCCUGUAAAUAAUGUUUUGAUUAUAAAUGUUGUAAUACUCUUGAUAAGUUUUCUGGAGAAUAAUUGACACUUGUUUAUUUAUAUUAAACUACUAGUCUCGGUCGUUUUCCAACACUGUAAGGUUAUUUGGCAACACAGCCGCAAGUUCACCUACUGUAAUAGUCUACUAUAACGUUACACCAUAUCAAGAUGUAUGACACUUAAAGCUGAAUGAUUACUCAGCUUUUUACCAAAACAAA
ensembl:lncRNA